rnacentral:rRNA from 1 species
AUGUUUGUUUACAGAGGGAGUACCACAUUGCCGAGACAAAAAGAAAUGUUGCCAGUCCAAAAUGGUACUGUAGUUAAAAACAUCCUAACUUUGACGCCUUGCAGGGUUCAGUUGGAAAAGUUGAUGCUUUUUUCACCAUACCUUAUCCUUGUACCAUUCUUGAUUGUCAAUUUCGUAUGUUCUUGGGACUUGCAAUCAAUCUUUGCUGAAAACAGAGGGAGAGAUGGAUACAGCUGCGAUGCUGAUGGCUCGACAAUCAUUAAAUUGCACCCCCCAGGAGGUGCACUGCGCCGUGCUGCAUCAUCAUGA